GACGAACGCUGGCGGCGUGCCUAAUACAUGCAAGUUGAGCGCUGAAGGUUGGUACUUGUACCAACUGGAUGAGCAGCGAACGGGUGAGUAACGCGUGGGGAAUCUGCCUUUGAGCGGGGGACAACAUUUGGAAACGAAUGCUAAUACCGCAUAAAAACUUUAAACACAAGUUUUAAGUUUGAAAGAUGCAAUUGCAUCACUCAAAGAUGAUCCCGCGUUGUAUUAGCUAGUUGGUGAGGUAAAGGCUCACCAAGGCGAUGAUACAUAGCCGACCUGAGAGGGUGAUCGGCCACAUUGGGACUGAGACACGGCCCAAACUCCUACGGGAGGCAGCAGUAGGAAAUCUUCGGCAAUGGACGAAAGUCUGACCGAGCAACGCCGCGUGAGCGAAGAAGGUUUUCGGAUCGUAAAACUCUGUUGGUAGAGAAGAAUGUUGGUGAGAGUGGAAAGCUCAUCAAGUGACGGUAACUACCCAGAAAGGGACGGCUAACUACGUG
rnacentral:rRNA from 1 species